CAGAGGCAGUCAGUCGGUGGGAUGCCGCCGCGCUAGGCAGACGGUGACUCCCCCGCGUCUCCCAGGUCGCGGCACAACACACCUGCUGACGUCUUUCGCUCGGCCUCUCGGGGACUGGAAUGGCACGCAGCGAUCCAUGACAAUAUGAAAGGACUUAGCAGGCGGUACAGGCUUUCCCGAGUGACACGCCGAGACUUUACUACUCAGAUACCCGUUUUCUAACACACGACGUACAAGAGUGCACGUGUAACUCCUUCAGUCACCAACUGCCUUACACAAAUAUUACAAUCGAAGCUGAAUAGUGCUAAAUGAGAGUCGGGGAAGCAGGAAGCAGGCUCACCUUCUUCCUGAGUCUGGGGAGGCUCAGUGAUCGCCUCAGUCAUCGGGGGGUUAUGAGUCACUCCGCCGUGGCCGCCGGGCUGGUGGUGGUCGGUUGAGGCUGAGGGUGCUUGCCUGAGCCCGCCGCCCUCCAGCCCGCCUUGCCUCACCCAGCCCCGCCUUUCCCCGCCCCACUCCCAUCCCCAGGCUUCCGCCCUCCUUCCCUCGCCGCAGCUGGCUGAUCAACAAACCCCACGCUCACAACUUCACCAGGUGUGGGGGCGAGGAUGGACCGUCGGCUGGUGCUGCCUCUAGCCACCCUGCUGCUUCUGAGCCGGGGGGUGCGACCGUACAGCGACAAGACGGUGGAGAUCGUGGAGCUGGUGGUGCCAGAGUCCCCUAAGGUGGGCGAUGACGUGACGCUCACCUGCCGCUUCAACCUGGUGGGCAACAACCAUCGCCUCUACACCGUCAACUGGUGGCGCGGCAAGGACCAGUUCUACACCUACAAGGGCACCACGAUGGAUCGCAAGCACGCCUACUCCUUCCAGGGUAUUCAGGUGAAGGAGGAGGCGUCGACGGAGGAGUCUGUGGUCCUGCAGGACGUGUCGGAGGACACCUCUGGUCUGUACAAGUGUGAGGUGAUGGGCGAAGGUCCCUCCUUCCGCACCGCCGUCGCCAACAAGACCAUGACCGUCGUGAUCCCGCCGAGAAAGGUGGAAAUCCUGGCGCAGUCUCAGCCCGACCCGCCCGUGUACCACGUGGGCGAGACGAUACACCUCAACUGCACCGCGAUGGCCGCCAAGCCCCGCGCCACCCUCACUUGGAAGAUUGAUGAUGUGCCGGUUGAGGGUCAUCACGUCCUGCGUCUCCCUGAUUACGAGGACCAGCGGGGCCGCAUCACCUCCACUCUUAACCUGGCCUGGGACCCUCCGGCCUACUUCCGCAGCAACGUGGCCAAGGUGGUGUGCCACGCGGUGGUCGGCGGCCACACCACCAUCGCCACUAAGGACAUCUACCUCGACCCAGCCUCAAGCGCGUCACUCAAUCACCUGUACGCCUCCAAAGGAUGUCAACUUUCGACCACCUGGACCAUCCUCAGCCUGGUCUUCUUCCUCGUACGGCAUUCACCCUAGCACUGCCAGCCGCUGACUCCCAGGAAUUCGAGUACAAGUGGAAGAAAGAAUGCCACUGAAGUGUCCCGAGGAGAGAUGGAAGUACUAGAUUCUUGCACUGGAGAGCCGGACAAACCAAACUGUGUAUUGCAUAAACCGUAAAGAAAUGUGAGGACGCAAAUAUUCAAACAGGCGCUUCGAAUGAAUGUUGUCUCUACAAAUGAUGCUAAAUGAAUUCCGAAAUGAAAAGAUCAAAGUGUUGGAAAAUGUUAACGAGAAAACAAUUGUUGAAAAUUCUAAUAGUGCGUUUAUGAGAAAGGAAUUAAUGGACUGCAGUGACAGGAACUUCCUCUUCUUAUGUAUCAGCGACUAACUGAAUAAUGAGGAUGGUGAUAUGAAAGAAUGAAAUUUAAUUAACAGACGCAAAAUGCUCCAUUAUAUGCUAAGACAAUGUAAAUUAGUAUUUAAAAACAUAGAUAAAUAUUUCGCAAUGCUAGACAUCAAAAGGGAAGUUGCGAGUAUGAUCCAGGCUCACGGUAAUUACUCAGCGGGAGAAGUAGCGCUUUCUUAUGACCCUAGACGGCGCUAUUUGAUCUUGUUGUGACACCAUGACUCUUACAUGCUUUCCUCCGCAACACGUGACAGGGACGCGAAAACUGACUAGUGAAGGAAGACGGGACCUGCUUGGUGAGGGAGCAACAAAACGCUGCUUCUUCUCACCUGUCACCUGCUUCCCUACCUGCCUCACCUAUCCCGCCACAACAGGUGAAGGAUGAGGAAGAAGAGGAAAAGAGCUUCAAACAUCCACUGUCUCGCCUGGUCAUGUCCCCCGAAGUCUGUCUCGCCCCUCCUAGCAUUACGAAUUAAAAGCCAUAGAUCAAAUAUAAAAAAUCUAUGUA
rnacentral:misc_RNA from 1 species